UCUGUGCCUGCCAGUGUGAAGGUAGAACGUAUUUGCAAGGACAGUUUGAUUUAAGACAAUUAAAUGUUCAGAACUUGAUAGCUGGACCUUUCAGCAGUGUAAAGGUUGAUUUAUGCUUCUGGGACACUAUUACGCAGUGCCUGCCAGACGGCAGCAACUCAAAUGGAUGAGAACGAGGAUGUCAGCUGUCCUUGGUGAUGUCGCGAGCUCUGCCGAGGCCCCGGUAAUGUCGGCCUUUACCCUUGCCUUUCCGGGAUUUUCUGCAAGAGAAAAAGGACAACAACGCAGAGAAAUGCCUGAGAGACUGACGAAAGAGGUGGACUUUUUCACUUAAUGACAAUAAAAGCCAAUAAUGGCCA